GUCCUAGAGGCUGGCCUGUCCUCUUAGGAGGCUACCUCCCACUCUGUCCUCACCCACUUCUCUCUCCAGCUGUCCCCAGGAGCUUGAUGACCACGGCAAAGGCUGAGGCUACCGUUCAGGAAUGCACAGCCUCAAGUGGACAACCUCAGUACAAGACAUAGGAGCCACACGGGCUUGCUCAGUAAGGAAUGCCAUCCGAAACAGAGCCAAAUCCUUCCAGCAAGCUACAUAGGUCGAGCACCUUCUCAGCCCAGGAUUGCUCAGGUGUUCAUGCACACCAGAAGAGGGAAUCAGAUUCCAUUAUGCAUGGUUGUGAGCCACCUUGUGGCUGCUGUGAAUUCAACUCAGAAGAGCAGCCAGCACUCUUAACUGCAGAGCCAUCUCUCCCUUAACCUGAUCAGAAACCAGCUGCAUGGGAUUGAUCGCUCAGGAGAGUAGACCCUUCCCUUCUGCUGUCAAUCACGAUGGAGUCCUGGACUUGACAAUGGCUGCCCAGGAAAUCACCCAACAUUUCAGUAGACAACUAACAACGCUAUUCAGAAUAUGAGUUUUGUCAACCAUCCGUGACCCCUUAGCUGAUAGAGAAGGGCAGGGCUCCCGGGGAGAAUGGACACUGAAAAUGUUUGCAGUGACAUCAGUUUCUUUGAAACAUCCCAAAGUCCAUGGGGAGGGAGCAGGUCCAGUAGAGGUCGUUCCUUCAGACACACUGUGGGUGGUGUCUGCCAGAGCUGGUCAACUGUGGGGCUGGUAGGGGAUCCCGGAGGACUGAGACUCCACAGCAGCACCCUGCCACCCUCCGACUCUGCCACCUGCCCCGGAGCAGCUAAGCCAGGGGUCCCUCCAUUCUUCUGUCACCCGACCCAGGUAAAUAGAAGAAAGUAUCAGCUUUGCCAU
rnacentral:lncRNA from 1 species